GCUUAAGUAGCUCAAUGGUAGAGCGUUAGGCUGAAAACCUAAAGGUUAUUGGUUCGAUUCCACUCUUAAGCA
rnacentral:tRNA from 1 species